GAGGGAGACAUGGAGAAGAAUGGAUUGUGGUGUGGCCAUGCCCAUUUGGGGUGUGAUUUCUGCACCCUCCCACUCCUGUUGCCAUCUAGCAACAUUAAAAAAAAAACAAUGUCUCUAAACUAUCUUUACUCUGAGAACGUCUGCACAGGAGAGUUACUUUGAGUAUUGCCAGGGAAAACUUUGCUGGAUGUCACAAGUUCAUGGUCAGCCUUUUGGGCAGAAGAAUUUUCAAAUUUCCAUAAAGCAUAAAUGGUUUUGAAUAUUCAUACAACCAAUGGGGAGAAUGAGGGAGAUUACAGUGAUAGGAAAAUGGUCACUAUUUGAAAUUUGUUCUCAGUUAGUGAGUUGCUAUGAGAAAACAUUUUUAAAUUGCUGUUUGGAAAGGUUAAAAAUGAAACUAUGAGUGUUCUCGAAGAUGUAUAAUUAUGUUAAUCUUAAGAAAAUAGGAGAACUUUUAGCAGAAUUUGAAUGCUCCUACCACUGUAUUUUAUAAACGAAGAUAUUCAUCUGUGGAUUCAGCCAAUUCUGUUGUCAGUUGGCUUACAUUUUGCAUAUUUGUGCUUAGACCUUUCAAUGACUUUUCACUGCCAUGAAGAUGCCAUGGAGACCACCCUGAUGACUUCCAAUAUCAUCCUUCGCCACUCCUACCCACUCACGAUGUCCCAGCAAGGCUGAGCUGCCCUGAAGGGCUGUCGGUUCUUCAGACCUGGCCCUCUCUCACCUCUCAUGGUGUUCCCUGUGCUCAAGCAUUCUCCACCUCCUGUGCUUGAUGAACUUCUACUCGUCUUUCAGGUUACAACUUACAUGUUUCUUCCUCUCAUCUGUGGACUAUGCACAGGUUUAGGACCCUGUCAGAUGUUCCCAUAGCACACUGGGCUGUCUUGUCAUAAUACUCAUGCUUUGCUCUAAUUGCUAACUGGUCCUUCCUGCUAAUUCCUUGAUGCAGAGACCACUUCUCAUUACUCAUUAUAGCAGAUGACUCCAUAAGAGGGACUCAGUAAACAUUUGCAGAAUAAAUAAAUAUAUGAAACAGUAUUUCUAUGGCAAAUUUGGUUCAGAAGGUUUGGAUUCCAUAUGCCGAACUGGUCAAUAUUUUUAUAUUCUUCCACCUGUGACCAAACUGUAAAGCCAUUCUUGAAGUCGGGCAUGGUGGCAUAUACCUGUAAUCCCAGCCUGGACGAGUGAGACCCUGUUUAA